rnacentral:rRNA from 1 species
GACGAACGCUGGCGGCGUGCUUAACACAUGCAAGUCGAACGGAAAGGCCCUGCUUUUGUGGGGUGCUCGAGUGGCGAACGGGUGAGUAACACGUGAGUAACCUGCCCUUGACUUUGGGAUAACUUCAGGAAACUGGGGCUAAUACCGGAUAGGAGCUCCUGCUGCAUGGUGGGGGUUGGAAAGUUUCGGCGGUUGGGGAUGGACUCGCGGCUUAUCAGCUUGUUGGUGGGGUAGUGGCUUACCAAGGCUUUGACGGGUAGCCGGCCUGAGAGGGUGACCGGCCACAUUGGGACUGAGAUACGGCCCAUACUCCUACGGGAGGCAGCAGUGGGGAAUAUUGCACAAUGGGCGGAAGCCUGAUGCAGCAACGCCGCGUGCGAGAUGACGGCCUUCGGGUUGUAAACCGCUUUCGCCUGUGACGAAGCGUGAGUGACGGUAAUGGGUAAAGAAGCACCGGCUAACUACGUGCCAUCAGCCGCGGUGAUACGUACGGUGCGAGCGUUGUCCGGAUUUAUUGGGCGUAAAGGGCUCGUAGGUGGUUGAUCGCGUCGGAAGUGUAAUCUUGGGGCUUAACCCUGAGCGUGCUUUCGAUACGGGUUGACUUGAGGAAAGGUAGGGGAGAAUGGAAUUCCUGGUGGAGCGGUGGAAUGCGCAGAUAUCAGGAGGAACACCAGUGGCGAAGGCGGUUCUCUGGGCCUUUCCUGACGCUGAGGAGCGAAAGCGUGGGGAGCGAACAGGCUUAGAUACCCUGGUAGUCCACGCUGUAAACGGUGGGUACUAGGUGUGGGGUCCAUUCCACGGGUUCCGUGCCGUAGCUAACGCUUUAAGUACCCCGCCUGGGGAGUACGGCCGCAAGGCUAAAACUCAAAGGAAUUGACGGGGCCCCGCACAAGCGGCGGAGCAUGCGGAUUAAUUCGAUGCAACGCGUAGAACCUUACCUGGGUUUGACAUGGAUCGGGAGUGCUCAGAGAUGGGUGUGCCUCUUUUGGGGUCGGUUCACAGGUGGUGCAUGGCUGUCGUCAGCUCGUGUCGUGAGAUGUUGGGUUAAGUCCCGCAACGAGCGCAACCCUUGUUCACUGUUGCCAGCACGUUAUGGUGGGGACUCAGUGGAGACCGCCGGGGUCAACUCGGAGGAAGGUGGGGAUGACGUCAAGUCAUCAUGCCCCUUAUGUCCAGGGCUUCACGCAUGCUACAAUGGCUGGUACAGAGAGUGGCGAGCCUGUGAGGGUGAGCGAAUCUCGGAAAGCCGGUCUCAGUUCGGAUUGGGGUCUGCAACUCGACCUCAUGAAGUCGGAGUCGCUAGUAAUCGCAGAUCAGCAACGCUGCGGUGAAUACGUUCCCGGG